UACGUAGGGUGCGAGCGUUAAUCGGAAUUACUGGGCGUAAAGCGUGCGCAGGCGGCGCGUUAAGACAGGUGUGAAAGCCCCGAGCUUAACUUGGGAAUUGCGCUUGUGACUGGCGUGCUGGAGUGUGGCAGAGGGAGGUGGAAUUCCACGUGUAGCAGUGAAAUGCGUAGAGAUGUGGAGGAACACCGAUGGCGAAGGCGGAUCUCUGGGCCUGUCCUGACGCUGAGGAGCGAAAGCGUGGGGAGCGAACAGG
rnacentral:rRNA from 1 species